GGUGGCUCAGUGGUAGAGCGCUUGCCUUGCACGUAUGAGGUCUCUGGGUUCGAUUCCUCAGCACCA
rnacentral:tRNA from 1 species